AGUGAUGACUCAAGCAGCACACUGUAACACUCCAGCCAUGUUGAGCUGUGGGUCACAAGAAGACUUAUUUCGUACUCCGUUUUCUUGCUGAUGGAGAAAUCCACUGACUUCAAGUUGUUCCUGUCCUUCCUGGCAUUCUCACAUCAUGACAGCUCCAGAAGUCUUAAUUUUUGUUUUCUUCCCUAAUUUUGCUGUCAACAUGCUGGAAUAAGGACAACAGAUUUAGAAGCGACCAUGUUCCUGCUGCCAGGGGACCACGGCCAAACUGCUGCUUUUCUGCAAGAAAACUGAGAAGCUCCUGCUUGAAGCCUGGAAAAAUACUCUCAGUAGUCUCUAAACAGACAACUUCUUCUGGGCAACCAGUCUGGCAAAACCCCAGAGCUGCUUCUGUGGGUCAUUAUGGAUAAAAGACACAAAGAACAAACUGAGGAAGGACCAGCUCUGGCCAGAACUCUUCCUUGAACAGCUGCCAGUGGCUGCAGUGCUAUUUAAUGUGGAAUGGUUGCAAGACACAAGAGAGCUCUGAAAGUGAGAAAAUAAAAAUGCUGCAUGGAUGUCCAGAUGUAGAAGAACAAUGUGCAUAAGAACAUGUGGAUCAGGACUAAUCACCAUGGGCUCCUUUUAUUGUCUGUGGGGGGAAAAAUGGAGAGAGAAAAAACACUUUAAGGCAUGAUUCAUACCAUCCUAAUGUAGGCAUCUAAAAUAGGUCAGGUUCAUUGAGCUCUAAAAUGUCUGGUUUUUCUCUAUGGACAGAGGCAUGGUCACCCUGGGGAAUCACUAGCUUAGAUGUGGAUAUCUAUGUUACCAAGUAAGGUGAGAUGAUUUCCACCCCAUGUAACUUUUGUGACCAAGAAUAAAUAUCUAUAAAGAAAGAAACAUUACCUCUAUUAAAAAGGGCAUCUAAUAGAAUAUGUGCUAAAGCUCUUGUUCCACAUUCCCUACAAUGACCUAGAUCCUAUAAAACUUAAAGAUUGAAAUCUCAUCCCAGAGACAAGCAUGUUAUAAUACUGCAUUAUCCUUCAUUCUGACUUAUGAAAGUGAUUUCUCACUCAAAACACAUGCCAAGAAGUACACAGCAAUGAUCUAAUUAAAGAUGUGUACACAGAAUUCAGAGCUGAUUAUUAUGUGUAUUAUAAUUACUGCAUGCAGCAGUACAUCAAUAUACUAGUGUAUAUACACAUAUAUGUGCUAAUAGAAUGCUUAAAAGAAAAUUAUAGAUAAUGGUUUUAAUUUCAUACAUUAACAAAUGCAGUAUAUUGGUAUGCAAAUGAAAUAUAUCUAUGAAAAUGUGGGCUAAAGACAAAAAGAAUAUGUCCUUAUUUUACUCUGACUUUCUGAAAGACUAUUUAGCACAAUAGAAAUUUUAGUGCUGACAUAGUUCCAUCACUAAUUGGGGAAAAGAAAAAGCAUUCAUUGAACAUUUCUGUUUUGCAUUUAGAAAGAAAAGCAGCGUCUGCAUUGCCAAACUACCAUCUAUUCUGACAUUUUCCAAAGCAGAUGGUAAAGAACAUCUAUUAAUUUUUUUUUUAAUUGGCAGGUCCACACAAUUCGAUUGAAAGAUUUUAAAAACAAUUUGUACUGCUCAUUGGCAUAAAGCUUUGGUAUACUGGAGAAGUCCAAGAGGCCUGGAAAAACCUAAUGCCAUGUUGAUAUUUUAGCAACGUAAACAGGAUGACCACAGUAACUCUAGAUGAGUUAACUUGACCUUGGUUCCGUGUGAAAGAAUGGAACAGCUGAUAUGGGACUCUGUCCAUAAGGAAAUAGAAAAUGGCAACGUAAUUACUGCCAGCCAACAUGACUUUAUGCAAAACAGGUUAAGUUAAACAAACUGCACUGUACUUUUAUGAGAUAAGAAUUUUUACUAUUCGAUUUGUUUGAUAAAGGUAACUAUGUUGACAAAACACUUUCAGAAUUCUGUUAAGCAUUGGUACCACAUGAUGUUCUGAUUAAAUGUUACACCAGAACAAAACCAAGACAACAUACGAUAUAUGAGACUAAACUAUAGAAGUCAGGAUUUCAAUGUGUAAUUGUUAACUAAAAUUUACUAAAAUUCACCAGUGUCUUCCAUGCCUUAAACAGUUAUUUACCUAAGGGGUAACCAAAAAAAGGCAUAGACUGGUACAAUACCUCUAAAUUCUGCAAAUGGCAGAGGAGAGAAAUUAUGAGGGCAGAUUACAAACAGGAAAUGGUUUAGACAACUGUAGCUAAGUAGAAAUUAUGUGGGUAUAAAUAUUGCCAAUUAAAAGCUGUUUUCACAGGAGAACACAGAGAUUACACUUGCAGGACUGAGUGUAGUGGGUCUAAAAAAAGUGUAGGCAAUGGUUGAUGGUUAAUUUUUUAGUGCAAAAGGGCACUAAGUUGGGAAAUUUGAUCCAUGGUUUUACACUGGAAGGGGUGAGAACUGGUUUUCUUGUUGUAGUCAGACCACAUUAAGCUCUCCAUAGAGAAAGACAGAAGCAAUGAAAGCUACCACCCUACAAACAUGUAUUACUCUGAUUUGGACUAUACAAACCAAGCAGUUUCCCUGGGAUAUAUUGCAAACACAGCAGAUGAAGAAAUACUUAGCAGGGGUUAUGUACAUCUGCAUAAAUAAGGCACAAGAAGAACAGCAGGGAAUUUUUCCUUGUUGUGUUUGGGGAAACCAGACUUUGGCUACAUUACUUGUAAA